GCCCGGGAAGGGCAAGGAAGGGACUCUGUCUCUCACCUCGGGCUGGUCGCUGAAGAGGCUAAGUCGGAAGCGGCCGCGUUUGAACUCCAUCUCCAGGGCGGAGCCCCUGGCCACUGUGACCCGGCUCCGGUGAUUUCGGAAUGCCAAAAGGGACAGAAGGAAAUGGCAGAGUAUUAACUUUCAGACCACAUAUGAAGUGUCUCCUGGAGGCUUUGGAACUUACUGGGGAGAACUUGAGAGAAGUCUGCCAAUCCUAAUUCACAACACUUGUGCAAUCCUGGAUUCAAUUCUCCGGCACCUCCUAGUUGGAACCCAGUAAGCUGGGAGUGUGAGAGAAGGAGAGGAAGAGGUUAAUCCCUAAAGAAUGUUCCAGAUACUAUUACCAAAAGGUGAGGGAAAGGAUGAUGGACAUCAACAAACAUCCUCUAUGCAUAAAAAUUUACAUGAAGAAUGGACUUCUAUUCUCGGCGAACACAACAUCUUUGCUGGUAUGUGGUGCUGAGGAUCGAACCUGGGGCCGCAGGCAUGCCAGACGAGCGUGCUACCGCUUGAGCCACAUCCCCAGCCCGAAAAGAAAUUUUUUAAAAGUGUAUUUCUAAAAAGCCCAUGGCACCUGAGGUAAACCUCAAAGGAUUCGUGAAGGGAAAGAAGAAAACAUUUUUUCUUAAUUUCUUCAAAUAUCAACUAUCACUCCUUUAAGCUGUAAGCUCAGCAGGGAAGGACAGUCUGUUGUCCAGUUUUAUCCCCAGUGCCUGGCAUACAUCAAGUGCUCAAUAAACAUCUGUUGAAGUAAAUAAAAGAAGCAAGCAGAUUUGAGAA